GACGAACGCUGGCGGCGUGCCUAAUACAUGCAAGUCGAGCGCAGGAAAUCGACGGAACCCUUCGGGGGGAAGUCGACGGAAUGAGCGGCGGACGGGUGAGUAACACGUAAAGAACCUGCCCUCAGGUCUGGGAUAACCACGAGAAAUCGGGGCUAAUACCGGAUGGGUCAUCGGACCGCAUGGUCCGAGGAUGAAAGGCGCUUCGGCGUCGCCUGGGGAUGGCUUUGCGGUGCAUUAGCUAGUUGGUGGGGUAAUGGCCCACCAAGGCGACGAUGCCUAGCCGACCUGAGAGGGGGAUCCGCCACACUAGGACUGAGACACGGCCCAGACUCCUACGGGAGGCAGCAGUAGGGAAUCUUCCACAAUGGACGAAAGUCUGAUGGAGCAACGCCGCGUGAACGAUGAAGGCCUUCGGGUCGUAAAGUUCUGUUGUAAGGGAAGAACAAGUGCCGCAGGCAAUGGCGGCACCUUGACGGUACCUUGCGAGAAAGCCACGGCUAACUACGUGCCAGCAGCCGCGGUAA
rnacentral:rRNA from 1 species